AUUGAACGCUGGCGGCAGGCCUAACACAUGCAAGUCGAGCGGGGUUUUCGGACCUAGCGGCGGACGGGUGAGUAAUGCGUAGGAAGCUACCCGAUAGAGGGGGAUACCAGUUGGAAACGACUGUUAAUACCGCAUAAUGUCUACGGACCAAAGUGUGGGACCUUCGGGCCACAUGCUAUCGGAUGCGCCUACGUGGGAUUAGCUAGUUGGUGAGGUAAUGGCUCACCAAGGCGACGAUCCCUAGCUGGUUUGAGAGGAUGAUCAGCCACACUGGAACUGAGACACGGUCCAGACUCCUACGGGAGGCAGCAGUGGGGAAUAUUGGACAAUGGGCGCAAGCCUGAUCCAGCCAUGCCGCGUGUGUGAAGAAGGCCUUCGGGUUGUAAAGCACUUUCAGUAGGGAGGAAGCGUUGUGUGUUAAUAGUACACAGCGUUGACGUUACCUACAGAAGAAGCACCGGCUAACUCUGUGUCAGCCGCCGCCGUAACAC
rnacentral:rRNA from 1 species